UCCGGUUUAUCACCGGCAGUCACCUUAGAGUGCCCAACUUAAUGCUGGCAACUAAGAUCAAGGGUUCCGCUCGUUACGGGACUUAACCCAACAUCUCACGACACGAGCUGACGACAACCAUGCACCACCUGUCACUCUGUCCCCGAAGGGAACGUCCUAUCUCUAGGAGUAGCAGAGGAUGUCAAGACCUGGUAAGGUUCUUCGCGUAGCGUCGAAUUAAACCACAUGCUCCACCGCUUGUGCGGGCCCCCGUCAAUUCUUUUGAGUUUCAGCCUUGCGGCCGUACUCCCCAGGCGGAGUGCUUAAUGCGUUAACUCCAGCACCAAGGGGCGGAAACCCCCUGACACCUAGCACUCAUCGUUUACGGCGUGGACUAC
rnacentral:misc_RNA from 1 species